CUGAGUACCACCGCCACCGCCACCGUGCAUGUCGCUAGGGCCGCAUCUCUCGAUGUUAGGGCCCAACCGAACAUCGUCGUCGCCUCCACCUCUGCGUCUGGGCCACCGCAAGAGUUUAGGGCUCCUCCGGGGUUCGAGAUCAUGUCCGACCAGCAGAGCAGCAUCCUCAGCACCAUGCUCGACAACCCCCUCCACCUCGGUACUGGCGUCUUCGCCCUCGGAUUCACUAAGACGAUGGCGCGUCUGCGGCAAGGAGCUUCAGAUUCACUGCCAUCAGAAACUUGCAGGUUGUCUGCGCUCUUCUCUUAG
rnacentral:misc_RNA from 1 species